GAUGAACGCUGGCGGCGUGCCUAAUACAUGCAAGUCGAACGCACAGCGAAAGGUGCUUGCACCUUUCAAGUGAGUGGCGAACGGGUGAGUAACACGUGGACAACCUGCCUCAAGGCUGGGGAUAACAUUUGGAAACAGAUGCUAAUACCGAAUAAAACUCAGUGUCGCAUGACACAAAGUUAAAAGGCGCUUUGGCGUCACCUAGAGAUGGAUCCGCGGUGCAUUAGUUAGUUGGUGGGGUAAAGGCCUACCAAGACAAUGAUGCAUAGCCGAGUUGAGAGACUGAUCGGCCACAUUGGGACUAAGACACGGCCCAAACUCCUACGGGAGGCUGCAGUAGGGAAUCUUCCACAAUGGGCGAAAGCCUGAUGGAGCAACGCCGCGUGUGUGAUGAAGGCUUUCGGGUCGUAAAGCACUGUUGUAUGGGAAGAACAGCUAGAAUAGGGAAUGAUUUUAGUUUGACGGUACCAUACCAGAAGGGACGGCUAAAUACGUGCCAGCAGCCGCGGUAA
rnacentral:rRNA from 1 species